UGGGGAAUCUUGCGCAAUGGGCGAAAGCCUGACGCAGCGACGCCGCGUGAGUGAUGAAGGCCUUCGGGUUGUAAAGCUCUGUGGAGGGGGACGAAUAAGGGUUGGCUAAUAUCCAGCUCGAUGACGGUACCCUUUUAGCAAGCACCGGCUAACUCUGUGCCAGCAGCCGCGGUAAGACAGAGGGUGCAAACGUUGUUCGGAAUUACUGGGCGUAAAGCGCGUGUAGGCGGCUCGGAAAGUCGGAUGUGAAAGCCCUGGGCUUAACCUAGGAAGUGCAUUCGAAACUCCCGAGCUUGAGUUCUGGAGAGGGAAGCGGAAUUCUCGGUGUAGAGGUGAAAUUCGUAGAUAUCGAGAGGAACACCGGUGGCGAAGGCGGCUUCCUGGACAGUGACUGACGCUGAGACGCGAAAGCGUGGGGAGCAAACAG
rnacentral:rRNA from 1 species